GACGAACGCUGGCGGCGUGCUUAACACAUGCAAGUCGAACGGAAAGACCCUGCUUUUGUGGGGUGCUCGAGUGGCGAACGGGUGAGUAACACGUGAGUAACCUUCCCUUGACUUUGUGAUAACUUCAGGAAACUGGGGCUAAUACCUGAUAGGAGCUCCUGCUGCAUGGUGGGGGUUGGAAAGUUUAGGCGGUUGGGGAUGGACUCGCGGCUUAUCAGCUUGUUGGUGGGGUAGUGGCUUACCAAGGCUUUGAUGGGUAGCCGGCCUGAGAGGUUGAACGGCAACAUUGGGACUGAGAUACGGACCAGACUCCUACGGGAGGCAGCAGUGGGGAAUAUUGCACAAUGGGCGGAAGCCUGAUGCAGCAACGCCGCGUGCGGGAUGACGGCCUUCGGGUUGUAAACCGCUUUCGCCUGUGACGAAGCGUGAGUGACGGUAAUGGGUAAAGAAGCACCGGCUAACUACGUG
rnacentral:rRNA from 1 species